rnacentral:rRNA from 1 species
UACAGAGGGUGCGAGCGUUAAUCGGAAUUACUGGGCGUAAAGCGUGCGUAGACGGUUAUUUAAGUCGGGUGUGAAAGCCCCGGGCUCAACCUGGGAAUUGCAUUCGAGACUGAAUAGCUAGGGUACGGUAGAGGGAAGUGGAAUUUCCGGUGUAGCGGUGAAAUGCGUAGAUAUCGAGAAGAACACCGGUGGCGAAGGCGGCCAUCUGGACAGAUACUGACGCUGAGACGCGAAAGCGUGGGGAGCAAACAGG